UACAGAGGUCUCGAGCGUUGUUCGGAUUCAUUGGGCGUAAAGGGUGCGUAGGCGGCGGGGUAAGUCGGAUGUGAAAUCCUGGGGCUCAACCCCAGAACUGCAUUCGAUACUGCCUUGCUCGAGUACUGGAGAGGAGACUGGAAUUUACGGUGUAGCAGUGAAAUGCGUAGAUAUCGUAAGGAAGACCAGUGGCGAAGGCGAGUCUCUGGACAGUUACUGACGCUGAGGCGAGGAACCGGGAGGGAGCAAACCGGG
rnacentral:rRNA from 1 species